AGUGAACGCUGGCGGUAGGCCUAACACAUGCAAGUCGAACGGCAGCACAGUAAGAGCUUGCUCUUACGGGUGGCGAGUGGCGGACGGAGGAGGAAUACAUCGGAAUCUACUUUUUCGUGGGGGAUAACGUAGGGAAACUUACGCCAAUACCGCAUACGACCUACGGGUGAAAGCAGGGGAUCUUCGGACCUUGCGCGAUUGAAUGAGCCGAUGUCGGAUUAGCUAGUUGGCGGGGUAAAGGCCCACCAAGGCGACGAUCCGUAGAUGGUCUGAGAGGAUGGUCAGCCACACUGGAACUGAGACACGGUCCAGACGCCUAAGGGAGGCAGCAGUGGGGAAUAUUGGACAAUGGGCGCAAGCCUGAUCCAGCCAUACCGCGUGGGUGAAGAAGGCCUUCGGGUUGUAAAGCCCUUUUGUUGGGAAAGAAAAGCAGCAGGUUAAUACCCCGCUGUUCCGACGGUACCCAAAGAAUAAGCACCGGCUAACUUCGUG
rnacentral:rRNA from 1 species